AGAGGGCAUUGGGAGGAAAUGGUGCCGAGCUUCUUUGGAAAAUCAAUUCGUCCCACCCUUAAUAAGGCAUUUCGCUCCCCCUCUUCGGGAGUGGCUGGGCAGGUGUGCUUCCAGGAAUGGGGAUCCCGAGGGAGGAGGUGCCGCCCCGUCCUGCGUGCGCACCCUAAGAACCUUUCUGCUCUCGCAUCGUCCCACUUCCUUUUCUCUCAGCUCCGGGCUCUUCCCGCCUCGCUCUCUGCUCGGGCCUCUUCCUUAAUGAGGCUGGAAGUGGAACUUUCCCUCACUCCCUCUCCCUUAUUUGGUGAUUUUUUUUUUUUUUUUUUACCCCAGUGACCUGGCUGCACUUUGCCCCCGCUCCCUGCCUGCCAAUCUUUUCUGGAUAGGGCCCCUUUCCAUUCUUGAGGCUCCCCCUCCUCGCUAACCCCGGGAGGCCCAGCCUCCCCCCGCCCCCCCAACCAGAUCUCCAGCAACACAGCAGCCCCCCGCGGAGCAAGGAAGAGGCCUCCUCCGAGUGAAUGGCUGGUCUUGCUUCUCUCCAUGGUCCUCCUGUCUAGCCAAUAUGCCCUUCAGACCAGCACUCGAAGGGAUGGGGUGACAGUUUUCAGGGUCUCUAACUUGCACCCCCCUGGACCUCAUGUCACUGCCAGGAGCUGGCUGCCCUGAUCUUCUUCGCACACCCCACCAUUGAGAUAGAUCAAAGGAUGGUUGUAGUAUUCUCCACAGGAGACAACCUUAUGAACUGAAGGGAUCGUCCAGCCCUGAACUUGUGGCAGACUGGCAGGAAAAUGGCAACAAUAAUGUCCAACUCAUCCCACCAAGAAAAUUAUGUUCAUUUCUUUGUCCCUUGAUUCUGAAUCUUGCUUGCUUGUGCCAACCAGACAUUAGUGAACAUUAGAACAAUCA